UCAAUAAGCGGAGGAAAAGAAACCAACAGGGAUUGCCUCAGUAACGGCGAGUGAAGCGGCAAGAGCUCAAAUUUGAAAGCUGGCCCCUUCGGGGUCCGCGUUGUAAUUUGCAGAGGAUGCUUCGGGUGCAGCCCCCGUCUAAGUGCCCUGGAACGGGCCGUCAUAGAGGGUGAGAAUCCCGUCUGGGACGGGGUGUCUGCGUCCGUGUGAAGCUCCUUCGACGAGUCGAGUUGUUUGGGAAUGCAGCUCUAAAUGGGUGGUAAAUUUCAUCUAAAGCUAAAUACUGGCCGGAGACCGAUAGCGCACAAGUAGAGUGAUCGAAAGAUGAAAAGCACUUUGAAAAGAGAGUUAAACAGCACGUGAAAUUGUUGAAAGGGAAGCGUUUGCGACCAGACUCGCCCGCGGGGUUCAGCCGGCAUUCGUGCCGGUGUACUUCCCCGUGGGCGGGCCAGCGUCGGUUUGGGCGGCCGGUCAAAGGCCCUCGGAAUGUAUCACCUCUCGGGGUGUCUUAUAGCCGAGGGUGCAAUGCGGCCUGCCUGGACCGAGGAACGCGCUUCGGCUCGGACGCUGGCGUAAU
rnacentral:rRNA from 1 species